CUCCCAAAGUGCUGGGAUUACAGGCAUUAGCCACCGCGCCCGGCCAUUAAGCUGAAUCUUUAAGGGUGACUACGAACUGUCCGGGUGACUCUAGUAGGAAGUAUUCUAAGCAGAAAUACGGGUGAAGGCCUGGAGAUCUGAGGAGGUAACUGAGACUUUAUCAUCACGACUGUAAUCCCAGCACUUUGGGAGGUUGAGGCAGGUGGAUCACCUGAGGUCAGGAUUUUGAGAUCAGCCUGACCAAUGUGGUGAAAGCCCAUCUCUACUAAAAAUACAAAAAUUAGCUGCGGCGUGGUGGCAGGUGACGGUAGUCCCAGCUACUCAGGAGGCUGAGGGAGGAGAAUUGCUUGA
rnacentral:lncRNA from 1 species